rnacentral:misc_RNA from 1 species
UAUGCUGAAGACUUCUAUAUUGAGGUAUUGACUACAUCAAUCAAAUCUUCAGUGGUUUCAUUUUCAUUAAUAAUCUAGUUGAAUAAGAAAACACAUCAGUGUGCCUCAAAACAUAUCCCAUUCUAAAAAGCUACCUAUAAAAUCUUGAUUAUUCUAAAUUCUAUAUUUUUUUUAUUAAUAUGUGAAAAGAUGAUUAUUCAGAAUAAUAUAUGGCUGAAAUUGCAUAGAAAAUGGCAGCAGUUUUAUUUAAAGAUGGCUAAAUAGAUUCUAGCAAUAAGAUGAUUCAAGCAUAACUUGGAAUUUUCAUGAUAAUUUGUCAUACUUUGUUUUAUUGGGUGGAUUUUUCUCUUCAAAAUGCUAGUAAAUUGGUUCCAUAUCCAAAAGGUGAAAUAACUUGCCCGUCAUGUAUCUUGAAAUGGAAUUGCUAUAUUAUGAAUGGUUUGAAAUAACUCAACUUGAUUGCACUUUCUACAUAAGAUUGAAAAAUUAUUUGAUAAAGAGAAGAAAAAGGAUAAAUGAAAAAAGAUAAGAAAGCAUCUGGCAAAGACUAGGAAUGACUCCUACCAACAAUAGCUCCUGUAGCUCAAUAUCUUGUGCUGCUUCAUUCUUGCUAUUGAACUUAUUAAUCCAUAUGCUAUUAAUAACAGCAUAGCCAUUCAAUUGUAUUGUCCCUAACGUGUCAAAAAUUAAAUGUAUUAUUUUUACAAUCAAAUGUAACUAGGAGGCUUGAUAGAAAAACAUCUUUGACUUUGGGGAUGAGAAAAGAAGCCAUAACUUUACUCCUACGGUGAUGAACAGAAAAACAAUGGCUGUUGUAUUUGGUUCAUGCUGCUGCCUCUGGUCUGCAAUUUUUUGCAAUUUACAAUAUUAUUUUUGCUGUUUGAUAUGUGAAACGCACGUUCUUAGUUCUAUAAAUUUUUGCUUCAGUGUUUUGAUCUUGUAAAUUCACCCUUUUUCAUUGGGAUUGGUUAAUGUUUUUUUUAUGAAUUAGAAAUGGAGUAAGUUCAAAUUGGAGAAUAUCACGUUAAAGUUGCAACAAGCAUCAAUC